rfam:Ipomoea nil DNA, scaffold: scaffold0963, cultivar: Tokyo-kokei standard.
CUGACCUUAGCUCAGUUGGUAGAGUGGUGGACUGUAGUUGGACUAAUCUAAAUUGGAAAUCCUUAGGUCGCUGGUUUUGAUUCCGGCAGGUUGGA